rnacentral:rRNA from 1 species
UACGUAGGGGGCUAGCGUUGUCCGGAAUCAUUGGGCGUAAAGCGCGCGUAGGCGGCCCGGUAAGUCCGCUGUGAAAGUCAAAGGCUCAACCUUUGAAUGUCAGCGGAUACUGCCGGGCUAGAGUCCGGAAGAGGCGAGUGGAACUCCUGGUGUAGCGGUGGAAUGCGCAGAUAUCAGGAGGAACACCGAUGGCGAAGGCAGCUCGCUGGGACGGUACUGACGCUGAGACGCGAAAGCGUGGGGAGCGAACAGG